GAUGAACGCUGGCGGCGUGCCUAAUACAUGCAAGUCGAGCGAACGGACGAGAAGCUUGCUUCUCUGAUGUUAGCGGCGGACGGGUGAGUAACACGUGGAUAACCUACCUAUAAGACUGGGAUAACUUCGGGAAACCGGAGCUAAUACCGGAUAAUAUUUUGAACCGCAUGGUUCAAAAGUGAAAGACGGUCUUGCUGUCACUUAUAGAUGGAUCCGCGCUGCAUUAGCUAGUUGGUAAGGUAACGGCUUACCAAGGCAACGAUGCAUAGCCGACCUGAGAGGGUGAUCGGCCACACUGGAACUGAGACACGGUCCAGACUCCUACGGGAGGCAGCAGUAGGGAAUCUUCCGCAAUGGGCGAAAGCCUGACGGAGCAACGCCGCGUGAGUGAUGAAGGUCUUCGGAUCGUAAAACUCUGUUAUUAGGGAAGAACAUAUGUGUAAGUAACUGUGCACAUCUUGACGGUACCUAACCAGAAAGCCACGGCUAACUACGUGCCAGUAGCCGCGGUAAUACGUAGGUGGCAAGCGUUAUCCGGAAUUAUUGGGCGUAAAGCGCGCGUAGGCGGUUGUUUAAGUCUGAUGUGAAAGCCCACGGCUCAACCGUGGAGGGUCAUUGGAAACUGGAAAACUUGAGUGCAGAAGAGGAAAGUGGAAUUCCAUGUGUAGCGGUGAAAUGCGCAGAGAUAUGGAGGAACACCAGUGGCGAAGGCGACUUUCUGGUCUGUAACUGACGCUGAUGUGCGAAAGCGUGGGGAUCAAACAGGAUUAGAUACCCUGGUAGUCCACGCCGUAAACGAUGAGUGCUAAGUGUUAGGGGGUUUCCGCCCCUUAGUGCUGCAGCUAACGCAUUAAGCACUCCGCCUGGGGAGUACGACCGCAAGGUUGAAACUCAAAGGAAUUGACGGGGACCCGCACAAGCGGUGGAGCAUGUGGUUUAAUUCGAAGCAACGCGAAGAACCUUAUCAAAUCUUGACAUCCUUUGACAACUCUAGAGAUAGAGCCUUCCCCUUCGGGGGACAAAGUGACAGGUGGUGCAUGGUUGUCGUCAGCUCGUGUCGUGAGAUGUUGGGUUAAGUCCCGCAACGAGCGCAACCCUUAAGCUUAGUUGCCAUCAUUAAGUUGGGCACUCUAAGUUGACUGCCGGUGACAAACCGGAGGAAGGUGGGGAUGACGUCAGAUCAUCAUGCCCCUUAUGAUUUGGGCUACACACGUGCUACAAUGGACAAUACAAAGGGCAGCGAAACCGCGAGGUCAAGCAAAUCCCAUAAAGUUGUUCUCAGUUCGGAUUGUAGUCUGCAACUCGACUACAUGAAGCUGGAAUCGCUAGUAAUCGUAGAUCAGCAUGCUACGGUGAAUACGUUCCCGGGUCU
rnacentral:rRNA from 1 species